CCAAAAUAAAUCAACCCAUCCAUACUCAGCCGUGCAAAAGCUACCAUACACACCUCACCUUCAGCGGCGAUGGUGGUGCUCAUGGCGCGGUGCUGCUGCCAGCCUGGCGUUCGUGGGGGUCGCCCCCAAAUACCAGGAUGCUGCUGCUGACCCGGGCCCCUGUGAGCCUGCAAUCCGUUGUCGAAUCAAGCCCGGCGGACAGUGCUGACCCAAGCCCGCGCCCCGGUGUCGACCAGAGCUCCAGGCGUGCCACACGUGUCACCGUUGUCGUCGUCCUCCGACAUCACCUGUGCCAAAAGCUUUGAUUUGUGUGCGGCAGGAAUCAUUUUUUAGAAGGCAGAUCUGUUAUGUCUCCAGCCGCCUCUUCCGCCCACCAAGUCCGGCGCUGAUUGGAAGGAAUAAGUACGUGCAACUACAAUCCCGCAUCUCUCUCUCUCUCAUACAUGCACAGACGUGUAGGUUAGUAUGAAUUUUAUUGUUUUUUUUACUUUGAUUGUUUUGUGAAUCAAGGCAUAUUCCUUUGGUCAUUUUCAGGUAUGUUCCUGACCGACAGUACUAUUCCACUAUGAAUGCCAUCAGAACGAUCCAAUACUCGAAUAGAUGGUUUAUUAGGCAUGUGUGUUUCAGUACUACUGUUCUAUCUGAACAUCAUCUAGCCUGGAGAGCUAGCACAGUGAUAGAUUAGCCAUGUGUUUCAGAUUUAUCAUUCAAAAUCAAAGAUUAUGUAAAUAUUGUUGUGGAUAUGAGUUGCAGGUUAAUCGACUAGCGGCUUCAAGUGUAAGUUUAAAAGGGAAUUUUUCCAGAUAUUAUACAAACAAAAUGAAAUAAAUCAUAUUUGCAUUUGUUUUACAUAAUGAUAUGUUAUACAUUUCCUUCCAUAAAUUGAAGCUUUCAUAAUCGAUUGCAGGGCUGUAGCUUCUGUGCUAAAUGAUCAACACAAGAAUUUCUCUGUGCUGGGGCUGGAUGUUGAGGAGAUCAAGCUACUGUUGUAAAUGAGGGUUCAUUGAGAAGCAAACACAACGGCGCAUAUGAUGGCGAAGGAAGGGGUCUUGAAUGAUCUUGGUAAAGUAUGGCUGCAUGUGCCACCUGAUAGUAUCCUGCAUGUAAUUUGAAAUCCCUGAACUUCAUGAAUAAAUAGAGUGAAGACGUUAAUCUAAAAAAAUUUGAAGCUUUUAUUAAGUAUUUGCACUGUAUGAAGGUAACACAACUACCAAUAUGUUCACUCCAUGCAAUUGCCUCAUUCACCUUUCUGCAGAACAAACUGCUAUGCUUUUUUUUCAUAAAAAUCCUUAAAGAGACUAUUAUUGCUAUUGGCAUUGUAAUUUUGAUUUUUCCUUUAUGCAAUUCGCCCAUGUUGUGCUAAUAAAAAUUUGCAAAUGUUACAAGAUUUUAUACCCAGUCAUGUCUACUCCUCCCUGGGAUGUACAACUGUGAUGACAAAUAAGACUGUUGGUGUGUUUCUGGUUUGAAGAUAGAUGAUAUCAUAUUAUUGUUUAUCUAUGCUAGGAUAUUAAGUGAUGUUAUGUUCUCAACCAUGUGUGUAUCAUUAUAAUAUACAAUCGUGUUAAAAAUGUAAGAACAAAUAUAGUGUUAAUGACAGUCCUUGGUGAGAGGAUCA